AACGUUAACACACAGAGACAGUGUCAGGAAGAGAGCCAUAUCUGGACUGGCCCCUUGAUUCUGAACACCAUAAUUAUGAGAAGAAAUGACUCGACACUCCCAGAAGGCGUGACUUCGUGCCAGUCCAAAGCAACCUCUUGUGUGCCGGAGGAACCAUGGACCUGACUUGCUACUUCUGACUCCACGCAGGUCAGGGAGUAGUCAGUCCCUGUGGGAGGCAGAGCGCCUUCUGCUGAAGAAUGGGCAAAGGAAAGAGAAAUGAAAUGGAG